GGGACACGUGGUAUCCUGUCUGAAUAUGGGGGGACCAUCCUCCAAGGCUAAAUACUCCUGACUGACCGAUAGUGAACCAGUACCGUGAGGGAAAGGCGAAAAGAACCCCGGCGAGGGGAGUGAAAAAGAACCUGAAACCGUGUACGUACAAGCAGUGGGAGCACGCUUAGGCGUGUGACUGCGUACCUUUUGUAUAAUGGGUCAGCGACUUAUAUUCUGUAGCAAGGUUAACCGAAUAGGGGAGCCGAAGGGAAACCGAGUCUUAACUGGGCGUUAAGUUGCAGGGUAUAGACCCGAAACCCGGUGAUCUAGCCAUGGGCAGGUUGAAGGUUGGGUAACACUAACUGGAGGACCGAACCGACUAAUGUUGAAAAAUUAGCGGAUGACUUGUGGCUGGGGGUGAAAGGCCAAUCAAACCGGGAGAUAGCUGGUUCUCCCCGAAAGCUAUUUAGGUAGCGCCUCGUGAAUUCAUCUCCGGGGGUAGAGCACUGUUUCGGCAAGGGGGUCAUCCCGACUUACCAACCCGAUGCAAACUGCGAAUACCGGAGAAUGUUAUCACGGGAGACACACGGCGGGUGCUAACGUCCGUCGUGAAGAGGGAAACAACCCAGACCGCCAGCUAAGGUCCCAAAGUCAUGGUUAAGUGGGAAACGAUGUGGGAAGGCCCAGACAGCCAGGAUGUUGGCUUAGAAGCAGCCAUCAUUUAAAGAAAGCGUAAUAGCUCACUGGUCGAGUCGGCCUGCGCGGAAGAUGUAACGGGGCUAAACCAUGCACCGAAGCUGCGGCAGCGACGCUGAUGCGUUGUUGGGUAGGGGAGCGUUCUGUAAGCCUGUGAAGGUGUGCUGUGAGGC
rnacentral:rRNA from 1 species